rnacentral:rRNA from 1 species
CCUACGGGUGGCAGCAGUGAGGAAUAUUGGUCAAUGGCCGAGAGGCUGAACCAGCCAAGUCGCGUGAGGGAUGACGGCCCUACGGGUUGUAAACCUCUUUUGUCGGGGAGCAAAGAGAGUCACGUGUGGCUCAUUGAGAGUACCCGAAGAAAAAGCAUCGGCUAACUCCGUGCCAGCAGCCGCGGUAAUACGGAGGAUGCGAGCGUUAUCCGGAUUUAUUGGGUUUAAAGGGUGCGCAGGCGGAGGUGCAAGUCAGUGGUCCAAUUGCGGGGCUCAACCCCGUACUGCCGUUGAAACUGCAGCCCUUGAGUGCGCGAGAAGUAUGCGGAAUGCGUGGUGUAGCGGUGAAAUGCUUAGAUAUCACGAAGAACCCCGAUGGCGAAGGCAGCUUACUAAACUGUGACUGACAUUGCUGCUCGAAAGUGUGGGUAUCAAACAGGAUUAGAUACCCGUGUAGUC